rnacentral:rRNA from 1 species
AUUGAACGCUGGCGGCAGGCCUAACACAUGCAAGUCGAACGAGUGGCGGACGGGUGAGUAAUUUCUGGGCAACUGCCUGAUGGAGGGGGAUCACUACUGGAAACGGUCGCUAAUACCGCAUACCCUCAGAUGUGCCCAGAUGGGAUUAGCUAGUUGGUGGGGUAACGGCUCACCAAGGCGACGAUCCCUAGCUGGUCUGAGAGGAUGACCAGCCACACUGGAACUGAGACACGGGCCAGACUCCUACGGGAGGCAGCAGUGGGGAAUAUUGCACAAUGGGCGCAAGCCUGAUGCAGCCAUGCCGCGUGUAUGAAGAAGGCCUUAGGGUUGUAAAGUACUUUCAGUGGGGAGGCGUUACCCGCAGAAGAAGCACCGGCUAACUCCGUGCCAGCCGCCGCGGUAAUAC